UACGUAGGUGACAAGCGUUGUCCGGAUUUACUGGGCGUAAAGCGCGUGUAGGCGGCCCGGUAAGUCCGCUGUGAAAGUCGGGGGCUCAACCCUCGAAUGCCGGUGGAUACUGUCGGGCUAGAGUGCGGAAGAGGCGAGUGGAAUUCCUGGUGUAGCGGUGAAAUGCGCAGAUAUCAGGAGGAACACCAAUUGCGAAGGCAGCUCGCUGGGACGUGACUGACGCUGAGACGCGAAAGCGUGGGGAGCAAACAGG
rnacentral:rRNA from 1 species